ensembl:lncRNA
GGGUUUGCAGUAGAGGCGAGGGUAUCCUGCUGGGGAUCUCUGUGUAGUUGUGGUCUUUGGAAGGGUUGCUGAUUUCCCAGUGAUGAGUCACUGAAAGCAGUCACAGAGCUAAAACCCAGAAGCUGGAGGGAGUGAUAUCAACUGUUCUGUAACUACACCAAGGGCUGUAACACCAAUCAGACUGGUGUUUUGGAGUGUCUGCAGUCUCAUGAGGAUUAGAGGCUACUCCUUAACUCAGAGAUGAGGUUUUCGACCAGCAGCUCUUUCUGCACCUGGUGAAGUCAACAGGAGAGCAUUCAGAGCACUCCAUGAGAAGAUACGUCCAACGAAGCCCAUGACUAGAGUGACCAGUAAGAAAGGGAAAGAAGAUUUGAGAAUGCCAUAAAGACUAUAUUUACCUCUAGAAAAUCAGCAAUAUUUCAGAGGAGGCUAUCUGCAUGUCCAGACUUCAGAUACCCGCUCCACCUCUGGUCAAUCCCAUGCCCAGUGCCUUGGGAUGUAACAUUCAUGCCAUAGAUAUGAAUCUGGCAAGGCUUUUUUCUUGAUUCAGGAAUGUGAAAAAGGGAAGACUGAUACUUAGAUGAAUUCUGCAACUCAAAAUAGCCUCAACUAGCUUUACCUCCACUUUCCUUGGCUUUUAUUUUAAUUCUGCUCAAAGUAGACUUCUACCAGUUGAGGUGAAACAAGGUUCAAGGUUUUAUGGGCGUGU